AUUUUAUGCAUAACAAACGUUUCGGUCCACGUUGGCCAGAAAACUGCCAAGCAAUGUUCUAUAUAUUUGUUUCUAUGGCUUUAGGCAAUUUUCAUUUCAGGAAAAAAAAAACUGCAUAGUACACACGGACAGACAAAAUGCCUAGUGGAGAACAGCUCAAGAAAAAACAUAAUUUUACCUCAAUAAAAGGUAAGAUAACUUGGCUGCUUGGCAGUGCAGGAACACUGUGGGUGCCUGGAAUUCGCUUCUAUUGUCCCCUAUCUGAAUUGCUUUGAAAAAGGUCACAUGAGGAGGAAAGGAAGUUUUGACUUUCACAUGCCUGUUAUUGCUAAGGAAACCACUUCCUUGGUAUUCACAUAUUCAGCAUGUCUCCAGUUUUGGCUCUCUGACAAAUGACAUCGUGCUACUGCAUCAAGUAACAAAGAAGGGUGGAGAAUGCUGUUAGAUAACUCGACGUGUUUUAAACACCAGUACAGCUUUUGUAGGGCUGCCAAGCUUCAAGUACACUCCAAAAGAGCAAGCGGGGGCCUUUUUUAGCUGCAAAUGAGAUACCUGGAGUUCAGAAGGACAGAACAAAGAUUCUGGUCUGCAUCUAACCAAGCUCAGGCUUUCAGAUAUCAGAAACUGAGCAUCUGAAGAUAACAUCUGGUAAUUUCAUUAAGAGAUUUGUAUUUGAACCUUGGGUCCGUGGGACUUUUCCCAUUUUUCUGACUUCCACGUCAAGCAAGGGAACAGCAGGAGUGACAAGCUUCAGUUGGUUAGGACUGGGAACCUCCACCAAUGUUUAUUUUUUAAGAGGAAUGAAGCAAAUUUUCUUUGAAGUAACAUAUUUGCAGAUCUCGAUCUGACAAGAAGGAAAUACAUCAUGAUUAGGCUGAUUUCUGCUUUACGAGGAAAAGAAGUCUAGUGUGCUUCAGGCUAGAAGCGACUUUCACUGUAAAUAUACAACAGUUGCUGAGAUUACUGGGAACAAGCAUGAAGCACACACAAAUCAAAGGAAUUGAACAGCUAAAGCCCUGCUCAAUUUACUGAGAGGCUACUAUGCUUCUGGUAUGUCAAGAUCUAUUUGUCUAAACGUUAUCGGUAAAAACAACAUAAUGUAGUGAACUGAGCCUGGGACUGCGGAGGCCAGAAAUCAAUAUUCUGAUCUUGGCCCUGCCUCAGAUGCACGCGGUGGCCCCAGAGUAGCUGUUUAAUCUCCCUGCGUGCUCACCAGAGAUAAAGCAGCUCAAACACAAUGAACUAUCUCCUCCACCGAAGAGUUGCGCAGAGCAGCUCACAGCUUCCGUGUGCUUCUCCGAAGACGUGAAUUGUUACAGAAAUAUUAACCUCACCUGCGAGACUUCUCCACGUUUGUCUCCAGGAAAAUAUAAGCCGUGUGUCUUUGGAGCUGAAAUUUCAGGUCCGUUCUCCACUAGAAGACCUCGCUCCAACCCCUUGGAGAUUCCAGACGCAGCCUGGUGGCAGCACAGAAGCCACCUGGGUAUCUGCCACGAGAACAUCCUCAUUUUCUUUCUGUUGGUGGCAGGAAUAGAAGCUACCUCCUCAGAAGUUACUGGCUUAAUGCAGAAAUAACAGAGAGAAGCACCUAUACCUAUGGCCUCUUUAUUUGGGAGGACAGGAGAGAAGUAUUGGCUGUAUCCCUCCUCCAUGAAGCAAACGAGUUCCAGGUAUGGAGGACACGAGAGCACCCGUGACCCAGGAAACCGUGUUUUCCAGCCCAAAGGAGAGGAAGUUUCUUAAUUACUCUAGAAACUGCUUCUGAAUGGGCAUUUGGGAAUUGCUGAGAAAAAGCAAGUGCUAAAACGGUCACAGCCGUUUGAAUUAGAGGCUCGUUUCCAGCAGCAGUGCACGACAACGGCACACAGCUUCCCGUCCUGGUGCAAGUAUUUAUUCCCCUGAAGUUCAGUGGCUUUCGACUCUGUCAGCUGUAUCUGCAAUUACAAAAACUGUUAAAGCCCCUACAAAGAGGAAUAUCAAUAGUCACAAAGGCAAGGGGACACCUUUCACAUGGAAAAGCAUAUCUGAAAAUGAGUUUCUGAUGAAAAUGAAAUUGAAAACAGUUUCAUCCUCACCUCUCCAGUUUCUUCAAAAGUUAUCCCUAAAUAUUGUUAUCAUCCCACCUUCUUAUGGGGAAGGAGAGAAGAGGUCUGUCUGAUGGACAGAUUUCAUGGGGAAACUGCAUACAUUUCGGGUGAGCUGUGCCUCAGGCAGCCAGCUGGAAGAAAAGCCCCCAGCCCUAAAGCACUGCAUAAGCUGCCAGUGUUUGGGCUGUGGAGCAAACUCCAGGCAGGCUAAGGAUGAUCAAACAUCCCCAAUCCAUGUGCAAGGGACACCUCCUCAUCCCUACCCGUGCUUCAGCAGGGAAGGCGUAAGAGCACACGCGUAUUUUUGACAAACAGAUGCUUUUUCACAACACGGGAGUACAGAGCACGCUCCCAAGGAGCUGGUAAGAGAACAAAUCACACAGAGCAGAUGGCAGUCCCACUGCUUAAUGCACUGUUGGAAGGUGCCCAGCUAGCCUGGUGAUGAGUGAUACAAGAACCUAUAUAGAAUAAUGCUCUUUGUUAAGCACCAGCUAUUUAUUACAUUAUAUUCCUAAGAACAGCUGAGGUGAAUUAACCACAGUAACCAUACACUGCUCCGACAGCCCUGCAGUAUCCGUGCUGCUGCCGUGGCUGAUGGCACCUCCUGGGCAGAUGUGAACCCGUUCAAAGCUAACCCUAAGCCAGCUGCCCAGGUUUGCGUACCGCCAAACCCCAACAAACCGCUCCGCAGGUGCGUUACCGUGUGCUUGCUGCUACUCUAACAGGUUUUGAACAACUUGGAGCUUGCCCAGAGCAGGCUGCAUCCACUCCGACGGCGUAACAAAACCGCAGCUUGACAAUGCUGCACCAGCUGCUGUGCUAUUUAGUGGGGCAAGCACGCAUCUCCACAGCUACUUCGAGUAAAGGAACGGUGACCAUGCUCUCUGAUCUGCUCAAAAGCAGGUAUAACACAAGGUUUUUGUAUUCGUCUCUUUGUAAAGCCAACAUCCACGCCUCCAUAUUAUCAUUUAGCUCUAAACACAUCCAAGUUCCAUUCUUCUUCAUUAAAAAGUCAUUAAGCAAUUUCAUCAAACGCUGCUGCAAAGUGAGAUGUGCUAGGACUCACAAAUUACAUUCUUUAUUGUCUGUCCUAAACUUAAUCUGGUUCUAGGGACAGGUGAGGUAAACAAAGUAGAAGCCUGACCACAAAAUCUGGAUUACCUUGAUAUUCUGGCAACGAAGCUAAGACAACACCACUUUCUUCCGGAGAACAGCCUGUCCCUGUAAGCCUGGUAUCCCACACACAAAAACAGAAACAUUAUUUUUUGCUCAGGCUAUUUCCCUCUGAUGAUGAGCACAUCUUAAACACUUUUAUUGUUUCAUAACCAGCUAGUGAUCAGGUAGCAGCCAUCUUCUGCAUUAUUUCCUGUGGAACAAGGUACGUGAGUACUCCGUGGCUGUUUUGCAGAAGCCAUCUAUCCCUGAACUACCACUGCUCACAU